UCAUGGCUCAGGAUGAACGCUGGCGGCGUGCUUAACACAUGCAAGUUGAACGAAGAGCAUUGUUUGAAUUCUUCGGAAGGAAGAUAAUGUGACUGAGUGGCGGACGGGUGAGUAACGCGUGGGUAACCUGCCAUGUACAGGGGGACAACAGUUGGAAACGGCUGCUAAUACCGCAUAAGCGCACGAGAUUGCAUGAUCUAGUGUGAAAAACUCCGGUGGUAUAUGAUGGACCCGCGUCUGAUUAGCUAGUUGGUAAGGUAACGGCUUACCAAGGCGACGAUCAGUAGCCGACCUGAGAGGGUGACCGGCCACAUUGGGACUGAGACACGGCCCAGACUCUUACGGGAGGCAGCAGUGGGGAAUAUGCACAAUGGGCGAAAGCCUGAUGCAGCGACGCCGCGUGAACGAAGAAGUAUUUCGGUAUGUAAAGUUCUAUCAGCAGGGAAGAAGAAAUGACGGUACCUGACUAAGAAGCCCCGGCUAANUACGUGCCAGCAGCCGCGGUAAUACGUAGGGGGCAAGCGUUAUCCGGAUUUACUGGGUGUAAAGGGAGCGCAGGCGGCCCGGCAAGUCUGAUGUGAAAACCCAAGGCUCAACCAUGGGAUUGCAUUGGAAACUGUCGAGCUAGAGUAUCGGAGGGGUAAGUGGAAUUCCUAGUGUAGCGGUGAAAUGCGUAGAUAUUAGGAGGAACACCAGUGGCGAAGGCGGCUUACUGGACG
rnacentral:rRNA from 1 species